GCCACCUCCACCAUGCCCCUAUCUUCCAUUGAAAUACAGUUUUGGAUGUAGAGGUCGAAAUGAUGCACAAAGCUGGUCUCAUUCAAGGGGGAUCACUGGAAAAUGCAAUGGUUUGCAGAGCAGCGGUGAUUCUGGUGCUAAUGUGAAGCGCCUUGAACAAGAAACUGAGAGCAAAAUCCUCCAGCUGAAGGAACAAUCAUCACGUGUCUCUCGCGAUGUGGGUGAUAUGCUCUUGAGGCAGGUCACAACCGUAAAGAAUUAGCUUUCAGCGUGUUUAUGGCUGUGAAGGAAUAUUCAAUAUAUUUAUGAAUAUAUGUAUGUGUUGUGAGGAAAUCUCUCCCCAGAUCUUAUAAUC